rnacentral:tRNA from 1 species
CGCCUUGUUGCGAACCGAUGCAAAAGGGUAGAAGGAACUUUGGAUCCUUUGGUGGAGGUUCGAAUCCUCCGGGGGCAA